UAUAGGUGAAAUCUAUGAUGGUGAAAAAGAUUAACUGCAUCGAAUACAAAGUUCCCUAACAUAGCGUAUGUGCAUAAGGAUGCCUUUAUCUGAUGGUGAACUACACCUCUUCCAAAAAACACUCCACCCAAAACGAAGCCCUGGACUAUCUUGUUUCUGUCGUAGGUGAUGUUUUUAUUCCCUGUUCUGAUGGAAACAUGGCUAAUGUUUUUGAAGGACACCACAUGCAUGUCUAUUUAUGACCUUCCUAAUAUGAAUAUCGUUUCUUCUUGCCACCAUGGAUAUGCAUUAGUAUGACAUGGUUAGCUGGGCCGAACGUGAGAAGAAAAUAUAAAUAUUUGCAUACACACAGGGUUGUAGUGUAUAGCUCUCAUGUGAAUGCAGACAUUUGUUUUGACGAAUCGUGACUAUCGUGAGCAAGAAUGAACCCAGCAAAAUAAUUUAUUUAUUUUUGUUUGUUCCUUACGAUCCAAUCAAUGGACCGGGUUCCACUAUCAGCAAAAUAAUUACUGAAGGUUAACUGAAAAGUGUAUAUCUUGCAACUGUAUGUUAAUGGGCUUCCACAUGGGUUCAUCAUUCCGAACCAACAUCAACUGUUGGGACUCUGGCAUAUAUUUCUCAUCAAUAUGGUCGCAAGAUGAUGUGUGGAUGUGGGGCCUUCCUUUAUGCGAUGUUGGUUGGUACCUACACUUUUGAUCCAUAAGAUCACAAGAAUUUUGAAAUGAAAACUGACAAGUCAGGUAAGUUGCCAGCCGUUCAACUUUGCAAUUCCACAAGUUAAUACUGAACUCAUAUUGCACAGAUUAUUAGGUGUUCAGUGUUCAAUUCCAGACUGUGCAUGCAUAUCUAGAGUCCUGAGUCGUUAUCUCAAGGAUCUUCUUUGCCAACACGGGCUAUGAUCUCGACAUAGACAAUGGCGGAGAGAUAAUAUAUGCUCUGUAUCUUGUAAAUGUAUGUGCAGCAGUAGCUGCAGCCUUCCACCUUAUGAACAAGUUCUGUCAAUGGUCAGGAGGGGCGAGCCCAUCAAAGAUUAUGUUCAAGGCUACAACUUGAAUCUGAAUCUCUAUUGCUAUGUAAAUAUGUGGUUCGUGCCAAGAAAAUUCAGUUAGUUGUGUGAUUCUAUUUUUGGUGUUCCUUUCUGUUAAAAGUUAAAACCGUAAGUCAAAUAUGUUUCUUACCAAA